CCUUUAGCUCAGUUGGCUAGAGCGCACGACUGAUAAUCGUGAGGUCAGAAGUUCGAAUCUUCUAAGG
rnacentral:tRNA from 1 species